GCACAAAAUUUUUAGUUCAAACAACAAAAUUAGUGGUUGUAACUUACCAUUUUCAAAGUCACCUAUAGAAGGCUGCAAUAUCCAAAGGCGCUCAGGAAAACAUGAGAACCAGCUGGAAAGGCAUUUUCCCAUGUUCCCACUGUUUUGCUAUGAUAAAUACUGUAUUUGAUUACCUUCUGCUGAAGUUUUAUAAAAAGAGGUCAUUCUUUAAUGCUGAGGCCGUUUGUGGAGAGUGAUCAAGUUGGAACCAAUGAUUUAGAGAAUUCCGGACAUGAGAGACUGGAAAGCAAAUCAGAAAAAAAGACAAGUGACGAAGGUUUACAGUCAGGAAACAAAAUUCUGGCCUUCUGUUCUGGUUUACUUUCUGCAGCGAUGAAGCAGAAUGCGAAAGCCGGA